UGGGGAAUAUUGCACAAUGGGGGAAACCCUGAUGCAGCGACGCCGCGUGAACGAAGAAGGUAUUCGUAUCGUAAAGUUCUGUCCUAUGGGAAGAUAAUGACAGUACCAUAGAAGAAAGCUCCGGCUAAAUACGUGCCAGCAGCCGCGGUAAUACGUAUGGAGCGAGCGUUGUCCGGAAUUAUUGGGCGUAAAGGGCACGCAGGCGGUUUAAUAAGUCGAAUGUUAAAGAUCGGGGCUCAACCCCGUAAAGCAUUGGAAACUGAUAAACUUGAGUAGUGGAGAGGAAAGUGGAAUUCCUAGUGUAGUGGUGAAAUACGUAGAUAUUAGGAGGAAUACCAGUAGCGAAGGCGACUUUCUGGACACAAACUGACGCUGAGGUACGAAAGCGUGGGGAGCAAACAGG
rnacentral:rRNA from 2 species